GUAGCGGUCGCGAAGGAGGGAGGAUGAGGGCAGUUCCAUUUCACCUCAGAAGCGUAAUUAUUACCUCAGAAAGGACGGUGUUUUUGACGGCGAAGUACGAUGAAGACACCACUGAUCUCGACAAGAGGACAACAUUCAGAGACACUCACAAUUCAGCGUAACGUUAAGCAGUUGAGAGAGAGCAGCAAUGAGGUUACCGAGGUUGACAUGGGGAAGGAUGAUGGCCAGCCACACAGGAGGGUGAUUUUCACUGAGGAGGAGGAAGCCCUGCUGACCGAAAUGCAUGCUGGACAUUUUCAAAGUGAAGCACAUGGCUUCCAGAAUCGCGCACCAGCUGUUGGGGAAUUGUCAAGGAUGUGGACAGCUGGGCAAAAUGAAAUAAUCUUUUGUUGAUCAAUCAUUCUAUUAUAUCUGAAAUUAUUAUGUUUUCAAUGAAUGUCUUAUCAGAGAG